UGGUGCAAAAAAUGAAGAAAA
rnacentral:piRNA from 1 species